rnacentral:rRNA from 1 species
CGGUGAGUAAUAUAUAGCUAAUCUGCCCCUUGCUGGAGGACAACAGUUAGAAAUGACUGCUAAUACUCCAUACUCCUUUUUACCAUAAGAUAAAUCGGGAAAGAAUUUCGGCAAGGGAUGAGACUAUAUCGUAUCAGCUAGUCGGUGGGGUAACGGCCUACCGAGGCUAUGACGCGUAACUGGUCUGAGAGGAUGAUCAGUCACAUUGGAACUGAGACACGGUCCAA